rnacentral:rRNA from 1 species
UACGUAGGGCGCAAGCGCUGUCCGGAAUUAUUGGGCGUAAAGAGCUCGUAGGUGGUUUGUCGCGUCUGCCGUGAAAGCCCGGGGCUUAACUCCGGGUCUGCGGUGGAUGCGGGCAGACUAGAGGCAGGUAGGGGAGAACGGAAUUCCCGGUGUAGCGGUGAAAUGCGUAGAUAUCGUUUGGAACGCCGAUGGUGAAAACAGGUCGCUGGGGUUGUGCUGACGCUGAGACACGAAAGCCAGGGGAGCGAACGGG